rnacentral:rRNA from 1 species
GACGAACGCUGGCGGCGUGCUUAACACAUGCAAGUCGAACGGUAAGGCCCCACCUUUCUGGGGUGGUUGAGUGGCGAACGGGUGAGUAACACGUGAGUAACCUGCCCCUGACUCUGGGAUAACCUCUGGAAACUGCGUCUAAUACUGGAUACGAGCUCCUUCUGCAUGGUCGCUUUCUGGAAGUUUCGUCGGUUGGGGAUGGACUCGCGGCCUAUCAGCUUGUUGGUGGGGUAGUGGCUUACCAAGGCUAUGACGGGUAGCCGGCCUGAGAGGGUGACCGGCCACACUGGGACUGAGAUACGGCCCAGACUCCUACGGGAGGCAGCAGUGGGGAAUAUUGCACAAUGGGCGGAAGCCUGAUGCAGCAACGCCGCGUGAGGGAUGACGGCCUUCGGGUUGUAAACCGCUUUCACCAGUGAAGAAGCGAAAGUGACGGUAAUUGGUAAAGAAGCACCGGCUAACUACGUG